UGGAGGGCAAGUCUGGUGCCAGCAGCCGCGGUAAUUCCAGCUCCAAUAGCGUAUAUUAAAGUUGUUGCAGUUAAAAAGCUCGUAGUUGAAUUUCGGGGUCAGCAGGUUGGUCGUGCCAAUGGUAUGAACUGGCCUUGCUGAUUCCUCCCUCUUGAUGAGCCGUAAUGUCAUUAAUUUGGUGUUGCGGGGAAUCAGGACUGUUACUUUGAAAAAAUUAGAGUGUUUAAAGCAAGCAAGCGCUUGAAUACAUCAGCAUGGAAUAAUGAAAUAGGACGUUUGAUCCUAUUUUGUUGGUUUCUAGGAUUGACGUAAUGAUUAAUAGGGAUAGUUGGGGGCAUUAGUAUUCAAUUGUCAGAGGUGAAAUUCUUGGAUUUAUUGAAGACUGACUACUGCGAAAGCAUUUGCCAAGGAUGUUUUCAUUAAUCAAGAACGAAAGUUAGGGGAUCGAAGACGAUCAGAUACCGUCGUAGUCUUAACCAUAAACUAUGCCGACUAGGGAUCGGAUGAUGUUAAUUUUUUAAUGACUCAUUUGGCACCUUACGGGAAAC
rnacentral:rRNA from 1 species